rnacentral:rRNA from 1 species
UUUCCCCGCAAGGGGAAACUGAGUGGCGAACGGGUGAGUAACACGUGGGUGACCUACCUUCGAGUGGGGGAUAACGUCCCGAAAGGGACGCUAAUACCGCAUAACAUCCUGUCCUUGAACGGAUGGAGAUCAAAGCCGGGGAUCGUAAGACCUGGCGCUUGAUGAGGGGCCCGCGUCCGAUUAGCUAGUUGGUGAGGUAAUGGCUCACCAAGGCAACGAUCGGUAGCCGGCCUGAGAGGGCGGACGGCCACACUGGGACUGAGACACGGCCCAGACUCCUACGGGAGGCAGCAGUGGGGAAUUGUUCGCAAUGGGCGCAAGCCUGACGACGCAACGCCGCGUGGAGGAUGAAGGUCUUCGGAUUGUAAACUCCUGUUGCUCGGGACGAAUGACUACGACCUAACACGUCGUAGUGUGACGGUACCGGGUGAGGAAGCCCCGGCUAACUCUGUGCCAGCAGCCGCGGUAAUACAGAGGGGGCAAGCGUUGUUCGGAAUUACUGGGCGUAAAGGGCGCGUAGGCGGCCUGUUAAGUCGAACGUGAAAUCCCCGGGCUCAACCCGGGAACUGCGUCCGAUACUGGCAGGCUUGAAUCCGGGAGAGGGAUGCGGAAUUCCAGGUGUAGCGGUGAAAUGCGUAGAUAUCUGGAGGAACACCGGUGGCGAAGGCGGCAUCCUGGACCGGCAUUGACGCUGAGGCGCGAAAGCCAGGGGAGCAAACGGGAUUAGAUACCCCGGUAGUCCUGGCCCUAAACGAUGAAUGCUUGGUGUGGCGGGUAUCGAUCCCUGCCGUGCCGAAGCUAACGCAUUAAGCA